rnacentral:misc_RNA from 1 species
GAUGAAGAACGUAGCGAAAUGCGAUAAGUAAUGUGAAUUGCAGAAUUCAGUGAAUCAUCGAGUCUUUGAACGCACAUUGCGCCCCCUGGUAUUCCGGGGGGCAUGCCUGUCCGAGCGUCAUUGCUGCCCUCAAGCACGGCUUGUGUGUUGGGCCCCCGCCCCCCGGCUUCGGGGGGCGGGCCCGAAAGGCAGCGGCGGCACCGCGUCCGGUCCUCGAGCGUAUGGGGCUUCGUCACCGGCUCUGUAGGCCCGGCCGGCGCCCGCCGGCGACCCCAAUCAAUCUUUCCAGGUUGACCUCGGAUCAGGUAGGGAUACCCGCUGAACUUAAGCAUAUCAAUAAGCGGAGGA